UUGUUUCUGUGAUGAGAUCACGGAAUAUCGCGCCAGGCGUGGCGUCCGAAAACGCGUGAGGAGAUGUUCCAUGCUGCCUUCCUUCUGAGAAACAC